CAGCAGCCACGGUAAUACAGAGGGUGCAAGCGUUAAUCGGAAUUACUGGGCGUAAAGCGCGCGUAGGUGGUUUGUUAAGUUGGAUGUGAAAGCCCCGGGCUCAACCUGGGAACUGCAUCCAAAACUGGCAAGCUAGAGUACGGUAGAGGGUGGUGGAAUUUCCUGUGUAGCGGUGAAAUGCGUAGAUAUAGGAAGGAACACCAGUGGCGAAGGCGACCACCUGGACUGAUACUGACACUGAGGUGCGAAAGCGUGGGGAGCAAACAGGAUUAGAUACCCCCGUAGUCCCUGUCUCUAUACA
rnacentral:rRNA from 1 species